GGGCGGUUAGCUCAGCGGCUAGAGCGCCUGCCUUACACGCAGGAUGUCGGGGGUUCAAUCCCCUCACCGCCCACCA
rnacentral:tRNA from 1 species